AUCCUGUAUUUUACAUACUCCAUGUCGGACGCUCCAUAUACAUGGCUUCGUUGCUUCCGCCCCCAGCCCUUUUAAGUCACUCGAUAGGACUAUGAUGGACAAUUUUCAAAAAGGUAACAUCGUGGCCUUUGGUAAAAUGAACGCCCAUCAAAGAUUUUGUGUAGAUCGUUAAUCAAGAAGGGAACUGCUAAAAGGUAAACACGAGUGCCAAUUCAGAUUGAACUUGCAGAGUCUUAUCUUUUCCACCAGCCGGAACUGAUUUGUAUCGCCCUGCGUCAGACCGGUACAUAGAUCUGCAGGCACCUUAUCAAUUUCCUGUAAGUUAGCUUCUGUCUCUACCGAAUUGUAAAACAGCCUGUCCGGGGACCGUCACGGGGACACACACCUCUGGAAUCCGAUAACUCGUGACCGUCUAUGGAGCAAUGCCCAGCACCGACAGACAACUCAGGGAUCUCCUAGGCCCGUUUCAAAGGCUUUUACACUUUCCCCGGGGCUUCAGCCUUCCCACUCGGUAGACAAGUCAGCUAAAGAUGGAAAUGUUAGAUUGUGCGCCCGAGGUCUUGACCUAGUAGGCCUGGAUGAAGCUGUAGGUCGGCCUGGCUCCUUGGCAGCGGCGACUCGGUCCCUGGGCCACACGGAGCCUGCUUUGUUCUCCGUGCUGCCUUGUCAUCCAGCUCUGGCAGGGGAUGUGGACACACAAAGAGAAGGAAUUUUCAAGGAGGGUCUGGCAGAGGGGUCAAGCUCUGUGCUCGGCUUUCUGAGAAGCCGUGUUCCUCACACCCAUGGGCCCCUCCCGUGGGCGGGAGUGGGGGGCUCUCCCACGUCACCCUCAGUCUCUCCGGGAGGCAGAGAGCAGGUGGGCAUGGGGAUCCCUGUUCCUGCAUGCAGGGGCCUGAGCCCAGAUGUCUCUGAGGUUUCCUGAAGGCGGGUAAGUCCUCUCAUCUGGCCUCUGGAGAAUGAUAAGGGUCCAGUGCACAGCCCUGACUCCCGAACUCUUUCUGGAGCCUGAUGUGGCCUCGACGAGGGCUCUGAAGUCCUUGCUGGUAGCCGCCCAUCUUCGAGACUUCCAAGGUGGAGGCCCUUCACCAGCUUGAGCAAGGCUGCCAAGGAGCUCCGUUGGUUGAGGCUGCCUGAAAUGUCUACUUGGGCACGAUGUGAGACGCCCCCAAACUGGACAGCCCCCUCUCAGCUGACAGCGCAGGGAUUCCGGCCCCUCCAGGCCAAAAGCUAAGAUGGGAGAGAUGCUGAAGCCCCUCAAUACGAGGAGUCACAAAAGAGAGAGGAAGCCGCUCAGUAGGGCGACGUGAUCAACAAUGGAUAUUGAUUAAGAAACGAACUGUUACUGUUUCAAGCUACCGAUUGUGGGGUUGUUUGUUAGAGCAGCUAUCACUAAUUAUUCUGAUGAAUGUUGUUUCGCUGUAUCGCCCAAAGCUUUCAUUCAACUUCUCUUUGUCUUUGAUGGAGUUUAUUGACAACCUCCUGUAUUGCAACAAUUGCACAUUUGCUGCUCCUGAUUAUAACAGCAAGGAGAUUGUUCUGAAAGUUCACAAAACCCAACAAUCACACGCCUGGGAAUUUGUCUCGGAAAAAUAAACAUUUAUAUGCAGGUAAACACCUGUAUAGGAUUGUUCAUAAGUAGCUUUACUUGUGAUAGCUCCAAACAGGAAACAACAGAAAUAUCCCUCCAUAGAUGAAUGGUUUAAAAAAAAUGGUACUUUCAUACCAGAGAAUGCUACUCAGGAAUUAAAGAAAACAAACUAUUGGAUUCAAGACCUAAAUGCGAGACCUGAAAUCAUAAAACUCCAGAAAGGAAACAUAAGAUAGUGAUCCCUUGGAAGUCAACCUUAGUAACAUAUUUAUGGGUAUGUCCCUUUAGGCAAGGAGAACAAAAACAAAAAUAAACUAUUGGGACUACACCAAAAUAAAAAGAUUGUGCAGAAGGGUGGCUCAGUUAGUUGAUCAUCCAAUUCUUGAUUUCGGCUCAGGUCAUGAUCCCGGGGUUAUGGGAUUAAGCGCCAUGUCAGACUCUGUGCUGAGCAUGGAACCUGUUUAAGAUUCUCUCUCUCUCUCCCUCUGCCCCUCUUCUCCGCUUGCGCUCUCUUUAUCUAAAAUGAAAAAAAAAAAGAAAAAGAUUUUGCAUAGAGAAGGAAAUCAUCGACAAAAUGAAGAAACAACCUACUGAAUGGGAGAUGAUAUUUGCAAAUGAUAAAUCCAACAAGGAGUUAAUAUACAAAAUAUUUUUAGUAAACAAUUAUAAGUACAAAACUUAUACAGCUCAACACCAACCCCCCAAUAAUCUAAUUAAAAAUGGACAGAGGAUCUGAAUAGACAUUUUCCCAAAGACAUACAGAUGGCCAACAGACAUAUGCAAAGUUGUUCAAUAUCACUAAUCAUCAGGGAAAUGCAAGUCAAAACCAAAAUGAGAUCUCAGUUCACACCUGUCAGAAUGACUAGAAUAAAAAAAAAUAAAUAAAUAACAGGUGUUAAUGAGGAUGUGGAGAAAAGGAAACCCUCAUGCACUAUUGGUGGGAAUGUAAGUUGGCACAACCACUGUGGAAAACAGUAUGGAGGUCCCUCAAAAAAUUAAAAAUAGAAAUGCCAUAUAAUUCAGUAAUUCCACUACUGGGUACCUAUCCAAAGGAAAAAAAAAACCACGAAUUCAAAACAAUGCAUCUUUAUGUUCAUUGAAGCAUUAUGUAUAAUAGCCAGGAUAUGGGAGCAACCCUUGUGUCCAGUGACAGAUGACUAGAUAAAGAAGAUGUGAGUAUAUAGUACUCAGCCACAAAAAAAGAAUGAGAUCUUGCCAUUUGCAAAAACACUGAUGGACCUAGAGGAUGUUAUACUAAGUGAAAGAUGUCAGACAGAGAAAGACAAAUACUACGUGAUUGCAUUUUGAUGUGGAAUCUAAGGAUCAAAACAAAUGAGUGAACAAGGAAACAAAACAGAGACAGACUCAAAUACAGAAACAAACUGGUGGUUGCCAGAGGGGAGCAGUGGGGAGAUGGGCAAAAUAUGUGAAGGGGCUGAAGAGGUACAAACUUGCAGUUAUAAAUAAUUAAGUCAUGGAGAUGAAAAGUACAGACUAGGGAAUGUAGUCAAUAAUAUUGUAAUAAGGUAUGGUGAUAGAUAGUAACUACGCUUGCCAUGGUGAGCUUUGCAUGAUGUAUUCAGAAAAAUACGCCAAAACAUACUGAUACAUGCCAUGGCUUGGAUAGAUCUCAAGGGCAUUGUGCAGAAUGAAAAAAAACAAAAACAAUUUCAGAAGGUCACAUACUGUGUUACUCCAUUUGCAUAAAACGUUGGUGUAAUGAAAAAAUUACAGAGAUGGAAAACAGAUUGCUAGUGGUUGACAGAGGACAGAGAGGGUGAGGGCUGGGGUGAGAGGGUGUGUGACUUCCUGACUAGUGUGUGGGAGCCCUUGGACGUGAUGGGAUCGUUCUGUAUCUUGAUCAUGGUGGUGAUUAUAUGAAUCCCCACACGUGAUAAAAUCCACAGAUCCACACACAUGCGUCGUACCGAUGUCCAUUCCCUAUCAAAUUAUGGAAGAUGAAGUCACUGAAGGAAACCAGGUUUUCAGGCUCUUUUUAUGAAUUUCAGGCAACUUUUUAUGAAUCUGUAAUUAUUGCAAAACUACCAUCGAUGAAGCCCUUACUCUAUGUUGGGGUCCAGGCAUUUUUCCUGUGCCAUCUCAGUCCUCAUAACAUUAGGAGGUGGGUAUUUUUAUCCUCAUUUUACAGAUCUGGAAACUAAGGAAUUAACAGAUGAAAUAACAUGAAGAAGCCCACACAACUAGACACUAAUUUAGGAACGAGGAAGGCAAGUUCGUUUAUGUGCACCCACAAAUGCCGUUCCUCACACCUACCCGUACAUCUACUCCGUGUUUUCUCGAGAGUAGCGCCCUAUCACUUUAGUGCCACUUGGUAAAUGGCCAUUAUUUUGAUAAGAAAGCAGAAGAAAGAUACUGGACCUUGAAAUGUUUUUCUGGCAGGUAGCUGGGUUAGAUGACACCUAAGUUUACAAAAAUGAGCGGCCAAAAAGCAUCAGAUCCCGAAUGUCCCCAUGACUAAAACAUCCCUGAAGGAAAACUGAACACAACUGCUUACCCAGGUCUAACAAUGUUUGUUAAGUACUUACGGCCCAGCUUCCCUGUGGGUCUGCACGUUCUGAAUUUCCUACCCUGGCAUGGAAACGAUUUUAUUUUUGUUUAAUUUUGCUGGUUACCUUUUACAUCCAGGAAAGCAUAUAAAUCCAUUUCCCCCAUAACGUUACACGGAAAGAUUCUGGGACUUCAAAACAAUUUCGUCUAUUUGCUUACUCUGCCUUUGGCACGCUGACCUUGCAAUUCCUCAAGCGUGCCAAACUCAGUACUGCCACAGGAUCUUUGCACUUCCUGUUCUCCCUGGUGCACUCUUCCAAUGGAUCAUCACACGGCAAUUUCUCUGGCUUUAACGGGGCCCCUCCUCAAAUUUCUUUUUCCCAGAGAAGUUGUUCCUCAAAUAUAAUAAAUGUAUUUAUUUUUUAAAUUUCUGUUUAUUUUGAGAGAGAGAGAGAGAGAGCAUGCACAAGUGAGAGUGGGGGAAGGGCAGAGGGCGAAGGAGAGAGAGAAUCCCAAGCAGGCUUCAUGCUGUCAGCACAGAGCCUGAUGCAGGGCUUGAACCCACAAACCGUGCGAUCAUGACCUGAGUUGAAAUUAAGAAUCAAACACUUAACCAAUGAGCCACCCAGCCACCCCUGUGAUCAAUGUAUUUAAAGUAGCC